UGGGGAAUAUUGCGCAAUGGGCGAAAGCCUGACGCAGCGACGCCGCGUGAGGGAUGAAGGUUUUCGGAUCGUAAACCUCUGUCAGAAGGGAAGAAACCGCACUGUGCUAAUCAGCAGUGCCUUGACGGUAGCUUCAAAGGAAGCACCGGCUAACUCCGUGCCAGCAGCCGCGGUAAUACGGAGGGUGCAAGCGUUAAUCGGAAUUACUGGGCGUAAAGCGCACGUAGGCUGCUUUGUAAGUCAGGGGUGAAAUCCCACGGCUCAACCGUGGAACUGCCUUUGAUACUGCUUAGCUUGAAUCCGGGAGAGGGUGGCGGAAUUCCAGGUGUAGGAGUGAAAUCCGUAGAUAUCUGGAGGAACAUCAGUGGCGAAGGCGGCCACCUGGACCGGUAUUGACGCUGAGGUGCGAAAGCGUGGGGAGCGAACAGG
rnacentral:rRNA from 1 species